GCCCGGCUAAUUUUUUUUGUGUGUAUUUUUUAGUAGAGAUGGUUUCACUGUGUUAACCAGAAUGGUCUCAAUCUCCUGACCUCGUGAUCCACCCGCCUCAGCCUCCCAAAGUGCUGGGAUUACAGGCACCACCAUGCUUGGUUCAUCCACUGCACCUGGCCAGAAUCAAGAUUUAAAUGGGCAAAGCGGCUGAGAUCUUUGAACUCCCUUUGAACUUUGAGAAUGGUGACUGGAAGAUGACAAUUCAUGUUGUUUUCAGGAAAGCUAUGACCGAGAAACCAAGGAACUCACUAUCUUGUCCUCUUGGAUGCCAGCUAUAAAUUGAAUCAAGUUGGACACCGGAAUUUUGACCACUUUCCACCUUUCUAUCGUGGUCAGGUUUCUUCAUGAGAAGAGGAGAUUCGGUCACAGGCAUGUACAGAAGAAGACUGUGUGAAGACACAGAAGAAGUUAUCUACAAACCAACGAGAGAGGCUUCAGAAGAAACCAACAUUGUUGACACCCUGAUCUUGGAUUUCUAGACUCAGGAAUUAUGAGAAAAUAAAUUUUUAUUGUUUAAGCCACC
rnacentral:lncRNA from 10 species